CAAGGAUUCCCCUAGUAACGGCGAGUGAAGCGGGAAGAGCUCAAAUUUAAAAUCUGGCGGUGUAUUCCGUCCGAGUUGUAGUCUAGAGAAGCAUCAUCCGUGCUGGACCAUGUACAAGUCUCUUGGAACAGAGCGUCAUAGAGGGUGAGAAUCCCGUCCUUGACAUGGACUGCCAGUACUUUGUGUUGUGCUCUCAACGAGUCGAGUUGUUUGGGAAUGCAGCUCAAAAUGGGUGGUAAAUUCCAUCUAAAGCUAAAUAUUGGCGAGAGACCGAUAGCGAACAAGUACCGUGAGGGAAAGAUGAAAAGCACUUUGGAGAGAGAGUUAAACAGUACGUGAAAUUGUUGAAAUGGAAACGCUUGAAGUCAGUCGUUCUCUGGGAUUCAGCCUUGCUUCUGCUUGGUGCAUUUCCUAGUCUACGGGCCAGCAUGAAUUUUGACCAAUGGAAAAAGCUGGGGGAAUGUGGCACCUUCGGGUGUGUUAUAGCCCCUUGUCAUACACGUUGGUUGGGAUUGAGGUCUUAGUGCACGCUCCGGUUGUGCUUUGAUGCUGGCGUAAUGGCUUUAAACGACCCGUCUUGAAACACGGACCAAGGAGUCUAACAUGUCUGCAAGUGUUUGGGUGCAAAACCCGAGCGCGUAAUGAAAG
rnacentral:rRNA from 1 species